UUUUCUCUUGGCGGUGGUUGGUUAUGUCGCGCAUGUUGCGGAGGCUCAUGGCGGGAUCUCGCACCCGCCGUGGUCAUUAGAGGCAGUCGCCCAAGCGGCGCUGCGCCCGAAGCUAGCGUCGUUCGGCUUGCCGGGGGAUUGAACAGUGACAUCGCCGCCCGGCGGCCCAACACGGCCGGAUCAUGCUCGCGUCGAGGUAUGGCCCGUGUUUUGCCUUAAAGGCGGUCUUGGGUCGAACCAGAUCGAGUUCUGAUUCGACGGUCAUUGUGGGCGUCAGUCAUGAGUCUCGGGUUGCCUGCCUCGUGCAUCCACAGCACUGGGCAAGUUGUCGAGAACAUUGGUUUCAUAGGCAAGGCCCUGGCCCAGCGUUAAGAGCCCUCCCCUGCCGGCCG
rnacentral:misc_RNA from 1 species